rnacentral:rRNA from 1 species
UACGUAGGGUGCAAGCGUUGUCCGGAAUUACUGGGCGUAAAGAGCUCGUAGGUGGUUUGUCGCGUUGUUCGUGAAAACUCACAGCUUAACUGUGGGCGUGCGGGCGAUACGGGCAGACUGGAGUACUGCAGGGGAGACUGGAAUUCCUGGUGUAGCGGUGGAAUGCGCAGAUAUCAGGAGGAACACCGGUGGCGAAGGCGGGUCUCUGGGCAGUAACUGACGCUGAGGAGCGAAAGCGUGGGGGAGCGAACAGG